AGCAGCCGCGGUAAUUCCAGCUCCAAUAGCGUAUAUUAAAGUUGUUGCAGUUAAAAAGCUCGUAGUUGAACUUCGGGGUUCACCCAUUGGUCAGGCUUAAUUGUCUGUACUGGUGAGAUGAGUCUCUACCUUCUGAGGAACUUUCAUGCCAUUUAUUUGGUGUGAUGGGAAAUCAGGACUGUUACUUUGAAAAAAUUAGAGUGUUUAAAGCAGGCUAACGUCUGAAUACAUUAGCAUGGAAUAAUGAAAUAGGACGGAUUGAUUCUAUUUCGUUGGUUUCUAGGGUCACCGUAAUGAUUAAUAGGGAUAGUUGGGGGCAUUAGUAUUCAAUUGUCAGAGGUGAAAUUCUUGGAUUUAUUGAAGACUAACUACUGCGAAAGCAUUUGCCAAGGAUGUUUUCAUUAAUCAAGAACGAAAGUUAGGGGAUCGAAGACGAUCAGAUACCGUCGUAGUCUUAACCAUAAACUAUGCCGACUAGGGAUCGGACGCAGUUAAUUUUAUAAUGACGUGUUCGGCACCUUACG
rnacentral:rRNA from 1 species